GAGGAGGCAAAUGGAGGGAGGAAUUGGUUUGAUGAAGGUUUGAUUUGGUAGAGAGAUGCCAGUCACCACACCAUCUGUGCAUGUGAUUCCUCCCCAAUUGCAGUGAGCAGCAGAAUUGGAGCUCCAUCUACCUAAAACAGGAGAGAAAAUGGCAUCAUAAAGAACAGGAAGAAGCUUGCGUACCGUUUGUUGGCCAUCUUCGAUGAAUCCUUUUAUUUGCUGGAAAUCUCUUGCCAAGAGAUGAGGAAUGCAUGAUUGAAUACAGGGUGUUUAGCUAUACUCUAUAGUGUUGUUAGGCAGUGAGAACUGAGAAUUCCUUUUGUCAUAGUUAAUUGACAGGUGAGCCUUCCAGCUGAAGAGUCCAGUUCUUAUUUUUUUGCACAAAUAGUUGUUUUUCUGCAGUUGGUCCCGGGAAUUCUGUAUUCAUAGGAGGCCAUGUAUGAAUAGGGCUGCCCUGCACUUUCGGUGAUGCCUUUCUCACUGACUUGGAACCUUCUUAUUUCUGCUUAUAAAGUUAUAGUUCUAUCUCUGUGCCAA